rnacentral:rRNA from 1 species
CCAUGCUUCCAGGAAAAGUCUCUAAGCUUCAGUUACACAGGAAUCGUACCCGAAACCGACACAGGUGGUCAGGUCGAGUAGACCAAAGCGCUUGAGAGAACUCUGCUGAAGGAACUAGGCAAAAUGGUACCGUAACUUCGGGAGAAGGUACGCUGCUGACGGUGAUGGGACUUGCUCCCUGAGCUAUUGGCAGCCACAGAAACCAGGCCGCUGCAACUGUUUAUUAAAAACAUAGCACUCUGCAAACACGAAAGUGGACGUAUAGGGUGUGAUGCCUGCCCGGUGCUGGAAGGUUAAUUGAUGGGGUUAGCGUAAGCGAAGCUCUUGAUCGAAGCCCCAGUAAACGGCGGCCGUAACUAUAACGGUCCUAAGGUAGCGAAAUUCCUUGUCGGGUAAGUUCCGACCUGCACGAAUGGCAUAAUGAUGGCGGCGCUGUCUCCAGCAGAGGCUCAGUGAAAUCGAAUUCGCCGUGAAGAUGCGGUGUACCCGCGGCUAGACGGAAAGACCCCGUGAACCUUUACUGCAGCUUGACAUUGAACUUUGACCUUACUUGUGUAGGAUAGGUGGGAGGCUUUGAAGUUGGAACGCUAGUUCCAAUGGAGCCGUCCUUGAAAUACCACCCUGGUAAUGUUGAGGUUCUAACUCUGCCCCGUAAUCCGGGGCGAGGACCAUGUCUGGUGGGUAGUUUGACUGGGGCGGUCUCCUCCUAAAGAGUAACGGAGGAGUACGAAGGUGCGCUCAGCGUGGUCGGAAAUCACGCGUAGAGUAUAAAGGCAAAAGCGCGCUUAACUGCGAGACCCACAAGUCGAGCAGGUACGAAAGUAGGUCUUAGUGAUCCGGUGGUUCUGUAUGGAAGGGCCAUCGCUCAACGGAUAAAAGGUACUCUGGGGAUAACAGGCUGAUACCGCCCAAGAGUUCAUAUCGACGGCGGUGUUUGGCACCUCGAUGUCGGCUCAUCUCAUCCUGGGGCUGAAGCAGGUCCCAAGGGUAUGGCUGUUCGCCAUUUAAAGAGGUACGCGAGCUGGGUUUAGAACGUCGUGAGACAGUUCGGUCCCUAUCUACCGUGGGCGCUGGAAAUUUGAGAGGAUCUGCUCCUAGUACGAGAGGACCAGAGUGGACGAACCUCUGGUGUACCGGUUGUGACGCCAGUCGCAUCGCCGGGUAGCUAUGUUCGGAAGGGAUAACCGCUGAAAGCAUCUAAGCGGGAAGCCUACCUCAAGAUAAGAUUUCCCUAGGA